GCCCAUCCAAACAUGCCCUUAAAACCAGACCUCUCUCCCUCUCAUAUCUUCAAAACCUGGACUCUCUUUCUCAUUUAUUUUCAAACCCUAAUAACCCCCUGAGCAACCGAUACACCUUUCUCUCCCCCUCUAUUUUCCUUUCCGGCGGCCGGAGUUGGACUCCGACAACUAUGACCGCUUUUCUUUGCUCCGACGUGACACUCACACCAUACCACUACCCUCCUUCUUCACCUUAAGUCCACCACAAACGCCUAUGUUUUCAAUGCUGUUCUUACCCCCCGUCCGUUUUCCGAUGAUGUCGUAGAUGAUGUUCUCUCUCUCUCUCUCUCUCAUCUCUCAUCAGAUUUGCUAUCUCUCUCUCAUCUCUCAUCAAAUCAAUUUUGACGGCGACGGGGGGUGUGGUGAUGGGUUUCACGGCGACGGUGGUGAAAGGUGGGUUGUGGUGGUGGGUUUGACGGUGACGAUGACGGUGGGGUGAAGGGCGGUUGUGGUGGUAGGCGGAUAACCCAACUUUGCCUCUUAUGAAGCAAUCUUGAAGGUUCUGUUAUCACUUCACUCAUCACUUUCAGAUUUUAGUUGUUUCUGCAAGUUUUUUUGACUGUUAUGAAGCAAUCUUGAAGGUUCUGUUAUCUGUCUUUAUUAUUCAUUGGUUCAUUGUUGAUUUACUCUAAUUUAUUUUAUUAUCUUUAUUUGUGGUUGGGCGGAUAAACCAACUUUGUCUGAGUUUCUUUAUUCAUCUAUGACUUUUAGGGUUCUGUAAUAUUUGGUCAAAGCCAUGUGAAAUUUAAUUUCUUUUAGAGGGUUGUUGGUGAUAUACCUACAAAAGGGGUAGCUUUGAUUUAGGUGGGAAUUCUAUCAGUAUGCUUCAGGGGGAUCCCGUGGUGCCCGUUUGGUGUCGGUGGUGCCUCGUGGUGCCCGCUUGGUACCGGUGGUGCCCCGUGGUGCCGAUCGAAAAGUUAUCGAAUCUGCAUGUGGUUGUCUGCUACUUUUUAGAGGAUCAGGGAAUGAAAAUUUGUGUCGUUUGGCAGUGAUAGUUCGAAACAAUUUUUCCGACAAAUUGAUAACGAUGGCGUGACAAGGAUAGUGGAGGGUAGGUUUUUGAACCUGCAACCCCACUUUGCAGCCUUGAUUAUUUGAAAA